GAGAAAGACCCUGCGCCAAGCUGUCAAACAACGUUUUGACUCAGUAGAAGAUGAGCCUCUGUACGCCCUGGCCACUUUGUUGGACCCAAUAUAUAAGGACAGAUACUUUACAAGUGAGACCUCUACCAAGCAUGCAAAAGAUGCACUGUUGAAGGAGCUUGAAGACAGGGGCUUGACCAGCACAGCAGGAGCAGCGGAGGCUUCACAGCGACCAGAGAAGGUCCCUCGGAUGGAGACUGCAGCAGAAGCAGUAGCAGCUCCAAGCAAGAGCAGUUUCAUGGAAGCAUUUGAGCAAAUUCUGGAGAAGAGUGAGGAUGCAGGUGCAGCAAGCAGCUCAAGCCCUGCAGUUCAACUGAAUGAAUAUUUAGCUGAGAAAACCAUCACUGCAUCAGACAGCCCAUACAAUUACUGGGAAGCCAACAAACAUCGGCUACCUGAUCUUGCUGCUACUGCCAAAAAGUAUCUCUGUGCCCCCUGCACCAGUGUGGAAAGUGAGCGAUUGUUCAGCACAGUUUCCAACACUGUGAAUGACAAGCGAAACAGACUGACUGCAGACAGAGCAGAAAUGCUUGUCUUCUUGACAAAGAAUUUGUCAUUGCUGCUUAAGUGAGCAUUAAUGAGGGGGUGAGACUGCACAAGUUUCAGAGCACCAGGUCAUGAAUGGUGCGAUUGCAAUAUGUAGAGACAUGUUUACGUUGCUUGAUUAUUGUAUUUGACCAAGUCACUUGUUUAUUCUCUUGUCCCGAUGCUAUAUUUUAUUUUUAAUUCCACUCUGCACUUUCAGUAUUUAGAAAUAAUUAUGAAUGGGUUUUUUUUUGUGUUCGACUUAGCAAAGCUUGUUUUCAGGGAGCACUUCUCAUUGCUGCUUAAAUGAGCAUUUAGAGCAUCAACAGGUCAUGAGUGGUGUGGAACGGCACCUAAUUAUUACAUGUUUACUAUUUAUUUUAAUAUUUGGUUACUGUGUGCUUGAUCACCCUUUCUAUAUUUGCCCAGUGCAGUUUCAGCUGCAACAUUUGUAUUUUUUUUAAGAAGUUUGUAUCCAAAUUUCCUUGAAUUUAAAUGCUGAUACACUUUAUUGCUGCUGUUGCACAAUUUUUGUUACAAAUAAAUAGUUCAUUGCAUUAA